GGAGGUGAACAUAUCAGACCACACCUUUGCCACUGGAACAGGAUCGUUUGGAGAAGCAAGUGAUUGUUACUCAGUGGCAAACCGUGGCUGCGGCCCAAAGGGAACUUUUCAUGUAAACACCAAUGGAACAGGCAUGCUUGUUGAUUCACAGCAAAUGUGGAACCAAGCUGGAUACAGACCCCAUGUGCCAUUAGUGACAAGAUCUGAAGGUGGCGUCAAGAUUGACCUUCUCUGUGGUGGAGCGUGCGGCGGAUGUAGACCAGAUGGACCAUUAAAGCUUUUUAAAAACUUUCAGGAAGUUGUUCCUCAAGAAAGUGCAGUUUCCGUAACCAAGAGCAGCUACUAUGCACAUUAAACAACCAAUCUCAAUAAAUGAACCUCGUUGUCAAGUACUUCAUCAGAAUGGAAAGUGCCCAUCGGACAUUGGCGCAGAUUACAUUGUUGAUGUAAGCCGUUAGAGGCAACUGUAAAUAUGAAGUGGCUCGGUCUGGUGACUUGGAUGAUUGUGUUUCGAGCACAAGUUCUGUGCGCCAUUAAAUAACAAAUACCCACAAGGUUAACACACAACAUUAUUUAUACAGAUAACCGUGGUGUGUAACGCUCCACUAAGCUAUAUUCAUGUUAUAUCAAGGAGUCUUCGAAGUAAUCGAAUCAGGGCCAGACAGAUCAGUUAUGAUCUCACAGCCCUGACUUCAUAGUUCAAAUUUCAAGCGGGCACUUUCUUUGCCCUACAGAUAUAUGUUUUUCAAUACUUCUCAACUUUUCCAGUCUAGAAUGAUAUGGAAAGUUCAGUUGGUCUCAGUUCUUAGUUUCAAGGAUUGUUCUUGGCUCCAUUUGUUCCGAUUUUGUCACUCAUGCUGUUGAUCAAUUGA